rnacentral:rRNA from 1 species
GAUGAACGCUGGCGGCGUGCCUAAUACAUGCAAGUCGAGCGAAGAGAUGAGGAGCUUGCUCCUCUGACGUUAGCGGCGGGCGGGUGAGUAACACGUGGAUAACCUCCCUAUAAGACUGGGAGAACUUCGGGGAACCGGAGCUCUUACGGCAUAAUCGAUUUAACCUCAUGGUUCAAGAGAGAAAGACGGUUGUGCUGUCUCUUAUAGAUUGAUCGGCGCCGCAUUAGCUAUUUGGUAAGGUAACGGCUUACCAAGGCAACGAUGGGUAGCCGACCUGAGAGGUGAACCGGCAACACGGGAACUGAGCACCGCCCAGGCUUCCUCCGGGAGGAGGCAGUGGGGAACCUUCGGCAUUGGGCGAAAGCCUGCCGGAGCACGGCCGCUUGAGUGAUGAAGGUCUUCGGAUCUUAAGACCUUGUUAUUAGGGAAGAACAAAUUUGUACGUAACUAUGCACGUCUUGACGGUACCUAAUCAGAAAGCCACGGCUAACUACGUG